rnacentral:rRNA from 1 species
ACUCCUACCGGAGGCAGCAGUGGGAAUAUUGGACAAUGGGGAACCGUAGCUCCAGCCAUGCCGCGUGUGUGAAGAAGGCCUUCGGGUUGUAAAGCACUUUCAGUGGGGAGGAAAGGUUGUUGGUUAAUACCUAACAGCUGUGACGUUACCCACAGAAGAAGCACCGGCUAACUCCGUGCCAGCAGCCGCGGUAAUACGGAGGGUGCAAGCGUUAAUCGGAAUUACUGGGCGUAAAGCGUGCGCAGGCGGUCUGUUAAGCGAGAUGUG